UUUAUACUUUGCCUCUCCCUCUAAAAAUUUAAUUUGCAAUGGCGACCCUAAUGUAUCACAUGUUUUCAUCGUCUUCACUGUUAUCUCUGGGAUUCUACCACCUCAUCUGCACCACCCGGAACCGCCUCAAAUCCGCCGGAGACUACGUCGCCAAACCCUACCACCCUCUCUCCUUCAUAUCUCAACCGCAUCUCCGCCGUCUACCUCUUUAUCUCCUCCUUCUCUGCCUCCUCAUUUCUCUGAUCCAUCAAUCACUCGUCUCUUUGGAUGCCGAUCCUCUCCUCAAAGGUCAUACUCCGGUGCAUCGUUUCACCUCUCUCCAAGCCGCUGCUGUUGUUUUCUCGUUUCUAAUACUCGUUGUUUUUCUCCUUAUCUCUGAGUCAACUUCUCUUCUCCCGCUUCCUCCCGAUCUGUUCUUCGCUUUAGCUGCUGCACUUUUCUACCUACAGUAUUCGGUAUCCGAUUCUUCUGCUUCUGUUCAAACCUCCGAUCUCCAGGCUAAAUGUGAUUCCGUUUCAGCUCGCAUUUCUGCACUCUCCGCGUUACUUUGUCUCGUGAUUGCUGUUCAACCUAGGCUUUUUCUGGCUGAUGUUGCGUUAGCUGCUUCUAUCUGUCUCCAGGGACUAUGGGUUCUACAGACGGGACUUUCGCUUUAUGUUGAUGCGUUCAUACCUGAGGGUUGUCAUAAGUUGUUGGAUGUUGUUACUGGGGUAGAAGGCUCAACCAAAUGCGAUUUGGAGGACUCUAAGCUCAGGGCUAUUGCUAUACUUGAUUUGGCUUUUGUAGUUCAUGUGAUGUUUGUAUUGCUCAUUGUUAGUGUCACUUAUGCUGCCGUUGCUAAAACUAUUGGUAUCAGGAGAUUUGGUUCUUAUGAGGCUCUUUCCAAUGCUGACUCGAGUCAUAUCCAAAUGAAGGCUAUGACGGGAACUCAAGCUUGAUUAUCGUCGCAUUAGGUUAUAGGAAGGGGGCGGCAUUACAUUCAGAUUAGUCCAUCAUUCUCAGCUGUCAUAUCUCAAUCAAGAAAAACAACAAUCUAAAAACGAGCUAAGCCCGCCAAGAAGGCUUCCCAAAGCAGAUAUAUAUAGCUAAGUUCGGUUUUGUUUUUGCAGAGUUCAAUCUUCUUGAUGGAGUAGAGGCAGUUUCUUUUGUAUGGACCCAAUACUUUACAUUAGACUGUAUUUUUAUUUGGACAAAUGUUGUAUGAAAUGUCAAUGGGGGUAUAAUACACACUGGUUAACCACAAUAUGGUUUAAAUAUUUGUAAUUUAAAGUUCA
rnacentral:misc_RNA from 1 species